rnacentral:rRNA from 1 species
ACUGCUCAGUAACACGUGGACAACCUACCCUAAGGAGGGGGAUAACCCCGGAAAACUGGGGAUAAUACCCCAUAGACUACAGAAGCUGGAAUGCUCUGUAAUCGAAAGGUCCGCCGCCUUAGGAUGGGUCUGCGGCUGAUUAGGUUGUUGUUAGGGUAACGGCCCAACAAGCCUGUAAUCAGUACGGGUUGUGGGAGCAAGAACCCGGGGAUGGAUUCUGAGACACGAAUCCAGGCCCUACGGGGCGCAGCAGGCGCGAAAACUUUACAAUGCGAGAAAUCGUGAUAAGGGAACCCCGAGUGCCCGUAAAUUCGGGCUGUUAAUCUGUGUAAAAAGCAGGUGGAGAAAGGGCCGGGCAAGACCGGUGCCAGCCGCCGCGGUAAUACCGGCGGCUCGAGUGGUGGCCACUAUUACUGGGCUUAAAGCGUCCGUAGCUGGAUUGUUAAGUCUCUUGGGAAAUCUACCGGCUUAACCGAUAGGCGUUCAAGGGAUACUGGCAAUCUAGGGACCGGAAGAGGUGAGAGGUACUCCAGGGGUAGGAGUGAAAUCCUGUAAUCCUUGGGGGACCACCUGUGGCGGAGGCGUCUCACCAGAACGGCUCCGACAGUGAGGGACGAAAGCUGGGGGAGCAAACCGGAUUAGAUACCCGGGUAGUCCCAGCCGUAAACGAUGUGCGUUAGGUGUAUCGGUGACCACGAGUCACCGAGGUGCCGAAGAGAAAUCGUGAAACGUACCGCCUGGGAA